ACAUGGAGAGAGCAAGAACAGUUACAAGAAAGCGAAGCAGAGAAAAACACGAGAAGAGAUGUAAUUACAAGAGUAACGUUCCAAAGUAUUUUUGUAAGUUAUAGUGCUGUAGAAAUUAGAGCAAAAGACUGUAAACCAGCGAACGUCGUAUGUGUGUACUGUGAGUAGUGAAGUAAAACGUCGACACAUUAGCCGAUGUUGUGAGUUAGCCUUUGCAGCUAGUUAGCCUAGCUAGCUGCCUACAAGGGAGUCCUCUGAACUGCCCAUAAAGUGAUUGGACUAUUCGGCUAGUGCUUUGAACUGCUUCAAAAGUGAUUGAAUUGCUCAGAUAGUGCUUUUAACUGCUCCAAAAGCGCUGGGACAGCCCGGAUAGUGCUCCAGGUGACCAGGAUAAAGCCUGGUAGCCCCUCUGGCGAUGAGGGAGACAGAGGACUCCAUCUGUCGGGCCACUCCUGUCCGCCUCGGCUCGCCACGGUCAGCCACCUUCCCGCCAGUUUAUUCCACCAUGCUUGAUUGUGUAACAUCAGGACUCGGAGACUAACGCUGCUAUUCAACGAAAAGGAAGACCUUCUUCUGUGUAGUGCAGGCGGCACAUGAGGCAGCAGGUACGACGUUGAAUCUCAGCCGGUAAUCGAGAUGCUGUGAUAAGCUUUAAUUUCAUUGUUUUACAGUUUUAAAUGAACCUUUGUUCAAUAAAUGCUAAUCUUCUCCAUCACUCCUGUUAUCUAACACUGUCAAAGUCCUUACAUUCUCAAUUCUCAAGCCAAUCAGUCCUUGGAUGCCAGAGAUGUUUAAUGAUAAUGAUUUAAUUACAAUUAUAUUUAAUUACUGUCAUUCUGUCCUUCCACCUCCCGAUAACCACCGCAACACAACGACCUGCAGGAUGUCCAGAGAGAUUCAACGGAGACUUUCCAUCGACUAGUUGCUGGCUUUGCUGCACCAGCGUCUAGACUCCAGGGGAUCCUGUCCUACCUCCUAUCUUCACAUAGAUCUACGCCUAAUGAGCAUUUUUCACAUCAUUAGAAUCUUAUCACCAAGUCUUUUUUCUGCUGCUAACCUAAAUAUUGUCAUACACUUUCUAUUGAUCUCGAUUGACCUUACUGAAGUGUUGGCAGAGACAGAACAGCACAUUUCCAAUUAUAUUCAGCCAUGUGUUUAAUAGUGCUGAUUUUUUACAAUGCUGUGGGACACGUGGUAUUUUGUUUACUUGCAACACAAGCCAUUGAUUCAAGUCUGCGUAAGGAGCUUGUGCUGUUUUGUGUGCCUAUUUGAAAUGAAGUGGAAAGCGUGCCCACCCGAAUCAAACUGGCACUGUGCCAGUUGGGUUUUAGAGCGCUGCUAUCAAUUAGACCUCUGCUCUUGUUGUGCUCAAGUUGUGAACACAUUGACAUAUCAUCACCCUUCAAGCUGAUAUGAUGAACUUGUUAUUAAACAGUUGCCUAUUUACACA